GACGAACGCUGGCGGCGUGCCUAAUACAUGCAAGUCGAACGCAGUGGGGACGGGUGAGUAACACGUGGGUAACCUCCCAUCAGAGGGGAUAACACUUGGAAACAGGUGCUAAACCGAUACUGAUGGAUGGCCCCGCGGUGCUUUAGCUAGUUGGGGGGGUAACGGCUCCCAAGGGCCACGAUGCAUAGCGGAACUGAGCGGGUGAUCAGCCACACUGGGACUGAGAGACGGUCAAGAAUCGUACGGGAGUCAGCAGUAGGGAAUCUGCGGCAAUGGACGAAAGUCUGACCGAGCGACGCAGCGUGAAGGAAGAAGGUUUUCGGAUCGUAAAACUCUUUUGUUAGAGAAGCGGUAUCUAACCAGAAAGCCACGGCUAACUACGUGCCAGCAGCCGCGGUAAUUC
rnacentral:rRNA from 1 species